UACGUAGGGACCGAGCGUUGUCCGGAUUCAUUGGGCGUAAAGAGCUCGUAGGCGGCCACUCAAGUCGAAUGUGAAACCUCGAGGCUUAACCUCGAGCCUGCAUUCGAUACUGGGCGGCUAGAGUCUGGUAGGGGGAUCUGGAAUUCCUGGUGUAGCGGUGAAAUGCGUAGAUAUCAAGAGGAACACCUGAGGUGAAGACGGGUUGCUGGGCUGACACUGACGCUGAGGCGCGAAAGCCAGGGGAGCAAACGGG
rnacentral:rRNA from 1 species